AAUUGGAAUUGAGCUCUUAGUGUGGAAAUUCUUACUCAGAACACAAAGGAUUGAAGAGUGCUUGGAGGCUGAACUCUGGAAGGACUCUUCCCUGAGGCCUCUUGGCAUCUGGCUCUUGUUUCUUGGAGCGGUGGUAUGGCCCACAGAUGAUCACAGAAGCCUCCUGAGAAGGGUUGAAUCCCCCGUCGCCUGGGGAUCCCAAGAAAGCUGCAGAGGAAAGACUUUCUCUUCCAAGAUCAGAACAAAGGACGGUUAGCAUUGUGCCCAGUAGUGCCAAAAGAUGAGCAAACUCACAGAGGGAUGCAACUUGCCUAGGAUCGUAUAGCCAGCAGCUCAUGAGUGUGGAAUGGGGAUUCAAAUAAGGUCUAGGAGACUCCAAAAUCCAUGUGCUUAACCAUGAAGUUUUACUACCCCUUCUCUGCUUCUUCAUUAAGUAUUUUUAGUGCCUAAUUGCCCAUGCUCUCUGCCAGGUGCAGUAAAGGAGGAUUACACAGGUGCAAUAUGAGCCAUGAUUCUUGUUGAAAUCAGCACGUCAAAAAUAAGGCUAAUGAGCACGUGAAAAGAUGCUCAACAUCACUAAUCAUUAGGGAAAUGCAAAACUGCAUUAAAAUAUCACCUCAUAUACAUUAGGAUGGCUACUAUGAAAAAAACCAGAAAAUAACAAAUAUUGGCAAG
rnacentral:lncRNA from 1 species